UUACGACAAUAUCAUGUUGAAACACCGGUUUUAGUACGAUCACCGAAGUUAAGCAAUAUUGAGCCUGGUCAGUACCUAGAUGGGUGACUGCUUGGGAAUACCAGGUACUGUAAGC